rnacentral:rRNA from 1 species
UACGGAGGGUGCAAGCGUUAUCCGAAUUCACUGGGUUUAAAGGGUGCGUAGGCGGGUUGGUAAGUCAGUGGUGAAAUCUUCAAGCUUAACUUGGAAACUGCCGUUGAUACUAUCAAUCUUGAAUAUUGUGGAGGUAAGCGGAAUAUGUCAUGUAGCGGUGAAAUGCUUAGAUAUGACAUAGAACACCGAUAGCGAAGGCAGCUUGCUACACAGUAAUUGACGCUGAGGCACGAAAGCGUGGGGAUCAAACAGG